rnacentral:sRNA from 1 species
CCCCCCUGGAAAAUGAAAAUUUAUUAAAUUUACAUAGUAAAAUUAUCGCGAAAAUAUGCCUCGGACCCCCCCUGGCAAACACAAUUAUCCUUCGGACCCCCCCCUGGAAAAAUUUUCUGGAUCCGCGCAUGAAAUUGUUCUUCGUUGUGACUUGUAUGCAUACAUUAUUAAUAUGUAUUAUUAUGUAUUUUACUUUUCAUUAAUUAUGAUUACAGUUUGUGCAUUUUAGUAAACGGUUUAUCCCUUCUUCUGGACUCCUGGACCAAUGAAAAGGCCAUACAUAUGUCAUAAUUUCAUUUGUUCAAGCAAUUUUUGUAUCACUUGACAAAAAUAAAAUGUUAUUAUGCUUCAUUCAAAGGUUUUAAAUAGCUUAUAUCCAAAAUAUGACCAGAAGAGACUAAAAUGUCAUCAGCAAUUGAUAAUUCUUGAUAUCACUUACCGGUAAUAUUUUGAAAAUUACAAUUUGUAUUUUAACUAAAUUUUUGACACUGGAUGUUGCAGCUCAAAAAUGCUUUGAUUUUCAUUUCAAUUAUUAGAACAUUAUCAAGUCAAUCAUAAAAUGAGCUCCGUUUCACUGAACAAAUGCUGAAGAAAGGAUUAAAGCUGAACACCACUCGUAAAAGGCAAUGUCCGCCAUAUUUUUCAUCCAUUGCCACUAUCUCUACAACCUCUAUAUAACCUGAAGACCUCUUAGCAGUUCAAAGAAUUUCGCUGUAAAGGUCUCAUCUGUGUGGACGUAUAUUUUGUCUGGCCGUCUUACUCAGUCGUGAUGAAAUUGUCAAAUUUUUCAACGCAAGAGUAUACUACCUGCAACAUCAUUCAAAUAAUCAGAUUAUUCAAUGCAUUUUUUACAAACAUAAUAUGCACAUAAUGCAAUGAACAAGUGUACAAAUUCUCAGACCACAAAUGGAAUGUCGGCCUUGAGUUUUAGGAGUGUAACCAAAUCAAAGGGUUUUUAUACCUAUAUUAUAUAAGUGUGGUGUUCAGUUUUAAUCUGGGGUCCAGAAAAAUAUGCACAACUUAUUCAAAUUAUUAACAGUAUUUUUAUUUUCUUUUUAGCAGCAUUAUACCAUUAUGUCAGUGCUGACAUUUUAAUGGCAGCAAUGUGUUAUGUUCUUUGCUGAGUAUCAAGUGUGCCUAUAAAUGUACUGAGUUAUCAUCAAUAAAAAAAUUCAGUUAC